rnacentral:rRNA from 1 species
CGUAGGUGAACCYGCGGAAGGAUCAUUG